GACGAACGCUGGCGGCGUGCUUAACACAUGCAAGUCGAACGGAAAGGCCCUGCUUGCAGGGUACUCGAGUGGCGAACGGGUGAGUAAGACGUGGGUGAUCUGCCCUGCACUUCGGGAUAAGCCUGGGAAACUGGGUCUAAUACCGGAUAUGACCUUCCAUGUAGUGUGGGGGGCGGAAAGAUUUAUCGGUGUGGGUUGAGCCCGCGGCCUAUCAGCUUGUUGGUGGGGUAAUGGCCUACGAAGGCGUCGACGGGUAGCCGGCAUGAGAGGGUGGACGGCCACAUUGCGACUGCGAUACGGACCAGACUCCUACGGGAGGCAGCGGUGGGGAAUCUUGCGCAAUGGGCCGAAGCCUUAUGCAGCGACGCCGCGUGGGGGAUGACGGCCUUCGGGUUGUAAACCUCUUUCGACAGGGACGAAGCUUCGGUGACGGUACCUGUAUAAGAAGCACCGGCUAACUACGUG
rnacentral:rRNA from 1 species